GAGUGGGCCACCACCUCACAUUUAAGCUGAGGCUGGAAGGGGGAGAAGGAGCCAGCAAUGUGAAAUUGUGGGGCAGAGGAAGCAACUUGUGCAAAGACCAUGGGGCCUGGUGGAGGAACUGAAAGUAGACCAGGGUGCUGGAGCUCAGUAGCAGAGGAAGAUGGGAUAGUUAAGGCCAGAGCCGGCCCGUAGAGCCAAGGGCCAGGGGAAGAAGUCGCGUUUCAUUCUAAGUACAAUGGGGAGCCAUCGAAAGGUCGGAAGAGAGUAAGCGAGGUGCUAGGAUGUGCAUAAAAUCAGUCACUCCAAGUGUUACAAGUACUGCUUAGGGGCCCUGGAGGGCCCUGGGGUUUGCUACCAGGUGGCCACAGUCCAGCCUGGCAGACAGACAGGUAUGGACAUGUGGAUGACAGGCAGAGCUUCACAGUUUGUUAAAUAAGAAAAAAAAAAUUUUUUUUUUAUAGGUGAGGUAAAAGCUGAGUUGUUCUUUGCAAAGGUACUUUCUGUCAUUGUCUUUGUACAGUAAAAACCAAUCAGGAGGGAAUAAUGCAAGAUGGGAAUGUUCUACCUGUGCAAGUGAACUGUGAAGUAGGAUCUUCAGGUAGUUGCAAUGGUCUUGGUGACACUGUGGGUGGACUGGGAACUAUGGUGUACUGUCAGGCGGCAUUUAGGAGCAUUGGAUGGUCCUUUGACACCAAGAGAGAAAAUAAGUGAACCUUGUUGAUCUUCAUUUCGGAAUAAGUGCUCCUCUGCUUCCCCAGGUAUGGGAGUGUUCAUGGAAAGGCAUGUUCUCCUAAGGAGGCCAGGCCUUAAUGGUCUCUUAUCUGACCUUGGGUGUUUUCCCCCUGGUGCUUGGAGGUUACUCCUGGACCUUUGUGUCCUUCAGCAAUAUGAUUGAAGAAGUUGAGUCUGUUUUUUCUUUUAGAUGCUCACUUUUUUUGCUUUUUUCCUGCCUUUUGAACAGAAACAAGCCAUACACACACUGAGCCUGAGUAUCCUUCUGACAUUCUCCUCCUACUUAUUAGGGAACUGAUCUAAUAAGCAACCUCAUCCUGUUAAUGAUGUAGGCCUGGAUCAAUGGCAUUCGAGCAGCAACCACCCCCUCCUGCGGGAACCAUAUCAAGUCAAGCUGCACCUUGAUUGCGUUUAACUCCGACUGCCCAGGUGUGCUGGGCAUCGUGCCUCUGGAUGGCCAGGGAGAGGACAAGAGACAUGUGAUGCACCUGGGCUGCCAUUCAGACCUGGUUACAGACUUGGAUUUCUCUCCCUUUGAUGACUUCCUCCUGGCCACAGGCUCAGCAGACAGGAUGGUGAAGCUGUGGCGGCUGCCAGCCCCAGGCCAGGCAUCGCCCACAGUCCCUGGACUGGUGCUGGGCCCCGAGGCCCUCCAGGUGGAGGUGCUGCAGUUCCACCCCACUGCCGACGGUGUCCUUGUGAGUGCAGCUGGCACGGCUGUGAAGGUCUGGGACGUGGCCAGGCAGCAGCCUCUCACAGAACUGGCCGCCCACGGGGACCUGGUGCAGAGUGCUGCGUGGAGCCGGGAUGGUGCUCUCCUGGGCACAGCAUGCAAGGACAAGCAGCUGCGGGUCUUCGACCCCAGAGCAAAGGCCAAGUCCUCACAGAGCACACAGGCCCAUGAGAAUUGCAGGACCAGCCAGCUGGUGUGGACAGGCACCCAGGAGCACUUUGUGUCCACGGGGGCCAACCAGAUGCGGGAACAUGAAGUGAAGCUCUGGGACACCCGGCUUCUCUCCAGCGCCCUGGCUUCCCUGACCCUGGACACCUCACCUGGGUCCCUGAUGCCCCUGCUGGACCCAGACUCUGGGCUCCUCGUCCUGGCAGGAAAGGGUGAGAGUCAGCUGUUCUGCUACGAAGUGACCACACUGCAGCCGGCACUGAGCCCAGUAAACCAGUGCAUCCUGGAGAACACCCUGCGAGGAGCAGCGCUUGUGCCCCGGCGGGCACUGGCCGUCCUCAACUGCGAGGUGCUCCGUGUCCUGCAGCUGAGCGACACGGCCAUCGUACCCAUCAGCUACCAUGUACCCCGCAAGACUGUGGAGUUCCAUGAGGACCUGUUCCCAGACACCACAGGCUGUGUGCCUGCCUCUGAGCCCCAGGCCUGGUGGGCUGGGAGCAACCAGCAGGUGCAGAGGGUCAGCCUCAACCCAGCCCACCGACCCCACACCAGCUUUAUGUCUACCCUGUUGCCCCCCACGGAGCAGCCCCCUGUACCCGCCCAGCCCACGGAGACCCUGAUAGAAGACACAGACCCCAGUGAUGGCUUCACCUCACCACCCAGCUCACUGACCUCACCCUCCACACCCUCCAGCCUGGGGCCCUCAAGCUCCAGCACCAGCGGCAUCGGCACCAGCUUCAGCCAGAGGUCACUGCAGAGCCUGCUGGGUCCUAGCUCCAAGUUCCGCCACGCCUAUGGCACCAUCUUGCACCGAGACAGCCACAUCACCAACCUCAAGGGGCUCAACCUCACCACACCUGGCGAGAGUGACGGCUUUUGUGCCAACCGGCUGCGUGUGGCGGUGCCCCUGCUCAGCAGUAGUGGGCAGGUGGCUGUGCUCGAGCUGCGGAAGCCUGGCCGCCUGCCUGACACUGCGCUGCCCACGCUGCAGAAUGGGGCAGCCGUGACCGACCUUGCCUGGGACCCCUUUGACCUGCAUCGCCUCGCUGUAGCUGGGGAGGAUGCCAGGAUUCGACUGUGGCGGGUGCCUGCAGAGGGCCUGGAAGAAGUGCUCACCACGCCCGAGGCCAUACUCACAGGCCACACGGAGAAAAUAUACUCCCUGCGCUUCCACCCACUGGCGGUUGAUGUCCUGGCCUCUUCUUCCUACGACCUCACUGUUUGCAUCUGGGACCUAAAGGCUGGAGCUGAGCGGCUGAGGCUACGGGGCCACCGGGACCAGAUCUUUGGCCUUGCCUGGAGUCCAGAUGGGCAGCAGCUGGCCACUGUCUGCAAGGAUGGGCAUGUCCGGGUCUAUGAGCCCCGGAGUCACCCUGAGCCCCUGCAGGAAGGUCCAGGGCCUGAGGGGGCCCGUGGAGCCCGCAUUGUCUGGGUAUGUGAUGGCCACUGUCUGCUGGUAUCUGGCUUUGACAGGCGCAGUGAGCGCCAGCUGUUGCUGUAUGCCUCUGAGGCCCUGGCUGGGGGCCCCUUGGCCGUGCUAGGCCUGGAUGUGGCCCCCUCAACACUGUUGCCCAGCUAUGACCCAGACACGGGCCUAGUGCUCCUCACGGGCAAGGGCGACACCCGGGUGUUCCUGUAUGAGCUGCUCCCUGAGGCCCCUUUCUUCCUGGAGUGUAACAGCUUCACAUCGCCAGACCUCCACAAGGGCUUCAUCCUCCUGCCCAAGACAGAGUGUAACGUGCGGGAAGUGGAGUUUGCCCGAUGCCUGAGGCUCCGCCAGACCUCCCUGGAGCCUGUAGCCUUUCGGCUGCCCCGAGUCAGGAAAGAGUUUUUCCAGGAUGACGUGUUCCCAGACACAGCCAUGAGCUGGGAGCCGGUGCUCAGUGCUGAGGCCUGGCUGGGAGGUGCUAAUGGACAGCCCCGGCUCCUCUGCCUGCAGCCUCCCGGCAUGACCCCAGUGAGCCAGGCUCCCCGUGAGGCCCCUGCCCGGCGGGCCCCCUCCUCAGCACUCUACCUAGAAGAGAAGUCAGAUCAGCAAAAGAAGGAAGAGCUGCUGAACGCCAUGGUGGCGAAGCUAGGGAACUGGGAGGACCCGCUCCCCCAGGACUCCUUUGAGGGUGUGGGUGAGGACGAGUGGGCCAAGUACCUGGCCCAGAUCAUCGUGAUGGGUGUACAGGUGGUGGGUAGGGCCUUUGCCCGGGCCCUGAGGCAGGAGUUUGCAGCCAGCAGGGCAGCAGCUGAUGCUCGGGGACGCACCAGCCACCGAUCUGCUGCUGCCUCCAACCUCUCAGGCCUCAGCCUGCAGGAGGCCCAGCAGAUUCUCAACGUCUCCAAGCUGAGCCCGGAAGAGAUCCAGAAGAACUAUGAACAUCUGUUUAAGGUGAAUGACAAGUCUGUAGGUGGUUCCUUCUACCUGCAAUCCAAGGUAUGCACGAGCCACCCCGGGCUCUCCCAGGGAGAACAGCGGAGGGCAGUCCUGCGUCCGUCACAUCUCUUCUCCUGGCUAAGUCCCUACAGCAACUUUAGUGGGUCUGCUCCCGUCCUGGUCCGCAGCCCUGCUCAAGUCUUCCCCCAGACAAGCUUCAGCCAAGACCCUCCUGGAGCUAAGCAUGGCCCACCACGUGGCAUGCAAGAGGAUGGCCCCCUCCCUCACUUGGGGCCCUUUGCUCUGGUGACACACCCCAAAAUCCCACCAGCAGACAGGGGCCGCACACAGGAGAUUGCCCAGGUUCCCAGGCUGCACUGUCCACAGCAUGGGUGGAUCCACUUGGCUGUGAACCCAGGCCCAUGACUGCUUGUCCCCCCUAUAAGCUUCUUCAGGUUGGAGCUGGUGAGUCACUCAGCCUGUUGUAUCUGUUUGGAUUUGCCCCCUUCCCAGACCCUCCAGCAAUGCAAGGAGGGGCUGGGACCAGACUGCCACCCACCCUCUCCUUCUGGAGCCCCAGGCCCAGGCCAGCAGGUAAGGGAUGGACCUGGACCCCCUUCCUCUGACUGGGUAGGGAGCUGCCCUCUGCCUGACACCCCCUUCCCCCCCAGUUAUGUCUGUCUGUGUCUGCCUGUCCCUCCACCUGUUUAUUUUUAGACAUUGGCCCCGGCCCACCUCCCUGAAGCUCCUCUGUGCUGGGAGCCUGCAAGGGGAGGAAGGAAGUAAAUAUUUAUGCUGAUUAAGAAUUCAGGAGCCAGGAAGGGAUGGUGGCCUGGUCCCUCUGCUGGCCCAGGGCCACAGGCCUCCCGACAGCCUCCACCCCGCCCCACCCAGACCCAACCUUCCAGGCGAGGGGACCACGAUAUCUGGAUGGUUUGGGAACUGGGAAUUCAGACUGUCCCGAUGACACUUGUGAGGCUGCCUGUAGCCAUCCCUUGGCACUGACCCACUGGCCUCCCUCCGGGAGGAGUCCAGGGGCCCUGGGUGGCCUUGUUCUUUAGACCUGCCGGGGAUACUGCCUCGACCUAGAGCUGGAGAGGGCCCCAGGAGGAGCCUGUCUCCCAGGGUGGGCCCAGGCACAGGGCCCAAGGCAGCAGGAGGUACUCCAGCCCCCUAGCUCUCAAUCCCCAGGGACCCCACCCCCACUUCCUGCCACUGGGUUCUGCCUACGGAGGCAAGGGUUCAUUCCAGUGGAAGCCCAGCCGGAGGCCCCCCCACCUUCUCCCUCCUGGGAAAGGAGGAAGGAGCCUACCCAAAAGCACAGAGCUCCCAGCACACCCAUCCCAGGCUGGUCCCACCCUGGGGGGAAAAGAUCUCCUGUGACCCCAUUUCUGCUUUAACCUUAGCCAACGUCAAAGUGUCCCCUUCCACCCCCACCCCUGCUGGCAGCAGCCAGUUCUGGGCUCUGGGUUCCCGCUCUUUGUUCCCAGGCUGGGUGGAGGGGGGUGGGUGAGAGCCAGGUCCACUCUCUCCUAAAAGCCUUGGCCAGCCUUCUGGAGGCCACAGAGACAGGGCAGGGUGCCGUCGUCGAGACCUCUGGAGAUCAGCCAGCAGAUCACCUCCUGUACCGCCCAGAACAACCAGUGGGGUAGACACCUGGCAUCCAGAUUUAGGAGGAGGCAAGCCAUGCUCAGGGCUGGCCUCCUCUGAGCCUUGCUGCGUGCCUCAGUUUCCCCGCUGGUUAAAUGGGCGGGGUGGCUGUGAGAUCCGAAACGAAGGACCCCAUCUGUCCGCAGUGCCUGGCCAGGAGACGGGCAGAAGGCGCUGAACGCAACGUGCCACCCGCGGGGGCCCGCACCGAGCUUGUACUCAAUGAACAAAUGAAUGCAUGAAUCCACAUGUUGUGCCCACCACCCAGAUGAGGAAUUGAGGGAGGUGGACACCCAGCCACAUGGCCUUUUCACAGCCCCAGGAGUGAGGGGGAGAGCAGACCGCAAAGGAGAUCCAGACGGUUCUGAAUGGCCCCAGAGCCCCAUCAUCAGCCAGGGGAUGGCUCUUUAUUGCUCAGCCUACUGCCCUGCCAGCCGAGAAUGCUCACCACCUCUGAGAAAGGUACUGAUCUGGGUUAAGGCAGGACCACCCAGUACCAUCCAGUGGUCACCCCUCUGGCCUCAGUUAUCUGUUGUGAAAAAUAAAAUGGGAAUAAUAAUCCUGAAUAGAGGAGAAGGGCCAGGGAGACUUUUCUGUGCAGCCUUGGAAAAGGCAGGACCUGCAUUCCACCCAGCUCAAGGGCUCUACCCUCCUAGAGUUCCUGCCCCUGAAAUCUGAAUUUCCCACUUGAGUGAGGGGCCUCCUGGGCCUCACCUGGGAUACAGAGGCCUUGGAGCUGGAGGA